UUCAUCUGUUGACCGGCGUGAGGGAUUUGGAACGCUUUUAACUUGGAACACCAGAAUUACUGGUAAAAUGUCUUAUAAUGAUUCAAAUUUGAAAUACUUUGAUACUUAAUUCCCACGAUCACUUCUGUUUGAAACACCAGCUCACUUGGAAAAUGCCCAAAACCUUCAUUAUUUGUAAAGAAACGAUUAAACCGAAAAAAGGGGGAGGACGAAUAAUCAUGACAUGCCUGAUUUUUCAGAUCAUAUGAUCCAGUAACAUUAGUCCCUAGUCAGUAUUAAAACUUUGACACAUUUACUAAAGCUCAGUCUUGCUUAUUUUUAUUUGGCCUGAAUGAUUUUUUUACAGCCCAAUAGAAACUGCAAAAACUAUGUCCCAUAAUUGCAUAAAAAAAAUCUCUAUUUUAGUGACUGAGCGAAUUGCAAGUAUAAGGUUGCUUCAAGGGUUACCUUGAAGACUACAUAAGUCUUAACCAAGGAUAAGAUAUUAGCUUCAUAUCUUACAUACAGCAUAUAUUGUCUAUUGAAAGAGUAAUGAUAAAACUGUAAAAGGGGGGGGGGGGCUAACUGGCUAAUAGGGCUCUUCACGGUUAGUUCGGCCAUAUUGGAUAGGGGGCAGAUUUUCAUAAAAGAGGUAAAAAUGGUGUGAAAAAUACGGGAAAACAUCAUUAAAACACAGCUGUUGCUUGGAAACACAAUACAUUUCCCACACUUUCAUACCAUUUCCACCUCCUUCCAAAAAAUCUGUCCCCUAUCCAAUAUGGCCGAACUAACCGUGAAGAGCCCUAUUAAUAGAUCGAAUUCGGUCUAGCUAAUUAAUGAAAAAUAAAAGAUAUCAAACUGUUUAUUGGUUGGUAUCAAAAUGCUGUAUUCACCUAUAUGAGAGUAUGAAGACCGUUAACCGUCAGUCUUUAUUCUUGGAAACCAGUCAUACCAAAAGGCUUCAUUUUCGGCUACUAUUCUUGCCUUGGAAACCAGCCAAGAUCAAAAUCAUUGUUGCUUUUGUUUAUAUUAGGUAACAAGACUGUUAGGCAAGGAAACCAAUCACCUCCAUGUUUAAUGCAAUAAUGGACAGUUUGGGACCAAGAGAAACCAGUACCUGUUUCCCUACAUUAUUGAGGGUGGUAAAGGGGGUCUAAACAUAGAAAAUUAUGAAAUAGAAAUCACAAAAACUUUGCUCAGAAAAUAAAAAUCAGGAAAAAUGCAGCAUGAGAAAUAAAGUCCAAAGUAUUAAGGAAAAAAGAAGUAGAUAUAAUAACAUCUUUUUUCCUUAAUACUAUAUUAUUCAAUCGUUUUUGGAGAUCAUGUAGUCAUUAUUACUGGUCAAGAAGACCCUACGGUAAUCUUAAUUAUGAGAAUCCACACGAAACAUGGAAAAUAUAUAAGGUGAAAGUCAAACCAUAUAAAAAAAGAUGUGGUAUAAUUGCCAAUGAGACAACUCUCCACAAGAAACCAAAAUGACACAGAAAUAGGUCACCAUACGGCCUUCAACCAUGAGCAAAGGCCAUACCACAUAGUCAGCUAUAAAAGUGCAUUCCAAUAGAUAUAAGAAGAUGUGGUAUGAGUGCCAUUGAGACAAAUCUCCAUCCAAGUCACAAUUUGUAAAAGUAAAUAGUCAACAUGGAGCCUUGGCUCACAUCGAACAGAAAGCUAUAAAGAGAACCAAAAAUAACUAGUGUAAAACCAUUCAAACAGGGAAAACCUAAUCUAUACAAAAAAUUAUUAGUAUUCAUAUAAAUAUGUUUCUUUUUUGCAGAAUGAUGAAGCUGAAGAGCAUCUUCCUGUUAUUUUUAUCCCUUGGACUUCUCCAUGUCAGCAUCUGUGAUACAGAAGAGGAAGAGGAUGACGAUGAUACAACUGUUGAAGUAGAAGAAGAACCUCCUGCUGUUGUAGAAAAAGUAAAAUAA
rnacentral:lncRNA from 1 species